AUUGAACGCUGGCGGCAGGCCUAACACAUGCAAGUCGAACGAGUGGCGGACGGGUGAGUAAUGUCUGGGAAACUGCCCGAUGGAGGGGGAUAACUACUGGAAACGGUAGCUAAUACCGCAUACCAUCGGAUGUGCCCAGAUGGGAUUAGGUAGUUGGUGAGGUAAAGGCUCACCAGGCCGACGAUCUCUAGCUGGUCUGAGAGGAUUACCAGCCACACCGGGACUGGGACACGGCCCAGACUCCUACGGGAGGAAGCAGUGGGGAAUAUUGCGCAAGGGGGGCAACCCGGACGCAGCCAUGCCGCGUGAAUGAAGAAGGCCUUCGGGUUGUAAAGUACUUUCGGUAGCGAGGCGUUAACUACAGAAGAAGCACCGGCUAACUCCGUGCCAGCAGCCGCGGUAAUUC
rnacentral:rRNA from 1 species